GAUGAACGCUAGCGAUAGGCCUAACACAUGCAAGUCGAGGGGCAUCACAUGAAGUAGCAAUACGGAUGGUGGCGACCGGCGCACGGGUGAGUAACACGUAUGCAACCUGCCUUCAACAAGGGGAUAACCCGUUGAAAGACGGACUAAUACCCUAUAACACAGGGGUCCCGCAUGGGAAUAUUUGUUAAAGGACAACCGGUUGAAGAUGGGCAUGCGUUCCAUUAGCUAGUUGGCGGGGUAAGGGCCCACCAAGGCAACGAUGGAUAGGGGAACUGAGAGGUUUAUCCCCCACACUGGUACUGAGACACGGACCAGACUCCUACGGGAGGCAGCAGUGAGGAAUAUUGGUCAAUGGACGCAAGUCUGAACCAGCCACGUCGCGUGAAGGAAGACGGCCCUACGGGUUGUAAACUUCUUUUGUAAGGGAAUAAAGUGUAGUACGCGUACUAUUUUGCAUGUACCUUACGAAUAAGGAUCGGCUAACUCCGUG
rnacentral:rRNA from 1 species